rnacentral:rRNA from 1 species
AGAGUUUGAUCAUGGCUCAGGACGAACGCUGGCGGCGUGCUUAACACACGCAAGUCAAGCGGAAAGGCCCCCGUUGUGGGGUACUCGAGCGGCGAACGGGUGAGUAACACGUGAGUAACCUGCCCUUGGCUUUGGGAUAACCCUCGGAAACGGGGGCUAAUACCGGAUAGUUCACUUGCUGCGGCAUCGUGGUGGGUGGAAAGUUGUUCGGCUGGGGAUGGGCUCGCGGCCUAUCAGCUUGUUGGUGGGGUGAUGGCCUACCAAGGCGGCGACGGGUAGCCGGCCUGAGAGGGCGACCGGCCACACUGGGACUGAGACACGGCCCAGACUCCUACGGGAGGCAGCAGUGGGGAAUAUUGCACAAUGGGCGCAAGCCUGAUGCAGCGACGCCGCGUGAGGGAUGACGGCCUUCGGGUUGUAAACCUCUUUCGACCCUGACGAAGCCUUUGGGUGACGGUAGGGGGAGAAGAAGCGCCGGCCAACUACGUGCCAGCAGCCGCGGUAAGACGUAGGGCGCGAGCGUUGUCCGGAUUUAUUGGGCGUAAAGAGCUCGUAGGCGGCUCGUUGCGUCGGCUGUGAAAACCCGCGGCUCAACCGUGGGCUUGCAGCUGAUACGGGCGGGCUGGAGUUCGGUAGGGGAGACUGGAAUUCCUGGUGUAGCGGUGAAAUGCGCAGAUAUCAGGAGGAACACCGGUGGCGAAGGCGGGUCUCUGGGCCGAUACUGACGCUGAGGAGCGAAAGCGUGGGGAGCGAACAGGAUUAGAUACCCCCGUAGUCC